UCAAACUUCAUGCUGAUUCUGGUGAUCUUUUAUCCUCUCCUGAUCAGUAUAGGAGUCUUGUUGGUAAGCUGUUGUUUCUGACUCAUACUAGGCCUGAUAUAUGCUUUGCUGUUCAACAUCUGAGUCAAUUCCUAAAAUGCCCCAGACUUCCCCAUAUGACUCUGUUCAACAUCUGAGUCAAUUCCUCAAAUGCCCCAGACUUCCCCAUAUGACUGCUGCCCUGCAUGUUCUGAGAUACAUUAAAGGCACUCCUUCUAUGGGUCUAUUUUAUUCUGCCAGUGAUGAUUUCUCUAUUGAUGGUUAUUCUGAUAGUGACUGGGCUGCAUGCACUGAUACUAGGAGAUCUGUUACUGGAUUUUGUGUGCUAUUGGGUGGUUGCCUGAUUAGAUGGAAAUCUAAGAAGCAACCUGUUGUUUCUUUGUCUUCUGCUGAGGUAGAAUAUAGAGCCCUCAGCAAAGUUGUUGCUGAAUUAUCUUGGCUAUCUCGUUUAUUGGUUGAUCUUGGAGUAUCUAAUUCUCUUCCAUUUUUUGUGUAUUGUGACAGCCAGGCUACUGUCCAUAUAGCUAACAAUCAUGUUUUUCAUGAGCAUACCAAACACAUCGAGGUGGACUGCCAUUUUGUUCGGGAUCAGCUACAGAAUGGUUUUCUCCAGCCGUUUCAUGUUCCUACUUCUCGUCAACUGGCUGACCUGCUCACUAAGCCAUUACCUGGCACUGUNNNNNNNNNNNNNNNNNNNNNNNNNNNNNNNNNNNNNNCUGCUCACUAAGCCAUUACCUGGCACUGUGCUUCAUCCGCUGUUAUCCAAGUUGCAGGUGGUUUCCCCCUCCAACUUGAGGGGGGAUGUUGAGAUGAAAGACUACAUGGCUUCCAAACCUAAGCAUAAAUGAUUGUAUACAUUGU
rnacentral:lncRNA from 1 species